UGGGGAAUAUUGCACAAUGGGCGAAAGCCUGAUGCAGCAACGCCGCGUGAGUGAUGAAGGUCUUCGGAUUGUAAAGCUCUGUCUUUUGGGACGAUAAUGACGGUACCAAAGGAGGAAGCCACGGCUAACUACGUGCCAGCAGCCGCGGUAAUACGUAGGUGGCGAGCGUUGUCCGGAUUUACUGGGCGUAAAGGGUGCGUAGGCGGAUGUUUAAGUGAGAUGUGAAAUACCCGGGCUUAACUCGGGUGCUGCAUUUCAAACUGGAUAUCUAGAGUGCAGGAGAGGAGAAUGGAAUUCCUAGUGUAGUGGUGAAAUGCGUAGAGAUUAGGAAGAACACCAGUGGCGAAGGCGAUUCUCUGGACUGUAACUGACGCUGAGGCACGAAAGCGUGGGUAGCAAACAGGAUUAGAUACCCUGGUAGUCCACGCCGUAAACGAUGAGUACUAGGUGUAGGAGGUAUCGACCCCUUCUGUGCCGCAGUAAACACAUUAAGUACUCCGCCUGGGAAGUACGAUCGCAAGAUUAAAACUCUAAAGUGAAUUGACGGGGUC
rnacentral:rRNA from 1 species